UGUACAAAAGUCUCCUAGUUUCUGAUAAGACGACUGUAGAGGAGGUGAUACAGCUAGUCCUCCAUUGCUACAAUUCCAAAGAGAGGCCUAAUUUAUUCUCGCUGUAUGAAGUGUCUGCAAGUGAUCACUAUGAAAGAAAACUCUAUCCUCAGGAAUAUCCACUUGUCAUCCAGAACAAAUGGUCUGAUCCAAAACAGUUCGCUUUCCACUUGAGGAGAAACAUCGCAGGAUAUCGAAGACGAAAAGAAAACUUGGAAAAAAACUCAUCUCGUUGUUUUAGACUCUUUGUAUGAUGUUUACAAGCACUUUCACUUAAUAAGAAAAUAACUUCUGUGGAUAAGACUCACUCACAUUUGUAGCAACACUAUAUUGAAGCCCAGUGGUCCUGAUGAUGUAAGCCAUCGAAAGAUUUACACUUCGUCUCAGAAGCCAUCAUACAAUUAUUACAAUAAUGCUUCUUAUAUUUGAGAAGCAGACAUGAUGGGACUAGUCAGCGAUGGGAAGAGUCAGACUGAUAGAAGAAGUUUAAAUGAACUGGAUGUAAAAUAAUGCACGUAGUUCCUAAUUAACAGUAUUUUUGCUUGUA